rnacentral:rRNA from 1 species
CCUACGGGAGGCUGCAGUGGGGAAUAUUGCACAAUGGGGGAAACCCUGAUGCAGCGACGCCGCGUGAGUGAAGAAGUAAUUCGUUAUGUAAAGCUCUAUCAGCAGGGAAGAAAAUGACGGUACCUGAGUAAGAAGCCCCGGCUAACUACGUGCCAGCAGCCGCGGUAAUACGUGGGGGGCAAGCGUUAUCCGGAUUUACUGGGGGUAAAGGGAGCGUAGUCGGCAGUGCAAGUCUGGAGGGAAAGGGGGGGGCUCAACCCCCGGGCUGCUGUGGAAACUGGACGGCUGGAGUGCAGGAGAGGUAAGUGGAAUUCCUAGUGUAGCGGUGAAAUGCGUAGAUAUUAGGAGGAACACCGGUGGCGAAGGCAGCUUACUGGACUGUAACUGACGUUGAGGCUCGAAAGCGUGGGGAGCGAACAGGAUUAGAUACCCGGGUAGUC